UUUAUUUGAUGUUGUAAUCUUUAUACUCGCAUGGUCAGGAGUGAUUUAUAUAUUGCGUUGUCCCAGUGGACAGCGAGAAGGAUGCUGCUCUCAAUGGAAAAAAAAUGGAGAUUUAUGCUGCACUCUCACUGUUGCCUUUUUAAUCACAACACUUAGUGCAGUGUCCCUUCAUUAUCUAAACAUCAUCACAGAAGAUAAAGAAAAAGGGGAACGGACUAUUGGAGAUCUCCGUCUGAUUGUCCUACCACUUGAAAUGGUUUUUCUCUUCGGUUGGCUCUUCUUGCAG